UAUAACUUAAGUAAUUAGAAGUAAAUGUGAUAACCAUGUUUGAAUGCAUAUUAGUCAUUUUAACUGAACAUUUUAACAUGAGAUGUGGUUGUUUUUUCUGUCAUUCAAUGUUUCUGACAAAAAAAAUUGGGAAAACAAUAACAAAAAUACUUAUAGGAUAAUAAUGAUAUGACUUAUACUAAUAAGAACUAUAAAACACACUAAGGAUUACUAAGGAUUAAUGAGCUGCUGGAUUCAUGAAUAUUAAUCAGGUUUUGUGCAUUCGCUCGAACUGAUUUGCUGAAAUCAAAACAGGGACGAUAAUAGGUGAGCGCCAGCCAAUCAGAUUGCCGUUUGCGCAUUAACGCCACCCAAUACCGGAAAACCCAGCUGUUCUUGAAAGCUGAAGACUUCCAUAGGAACGCCGUUAUUUUGACAAGAAAAUACAACAAAGAAUAUUGUUUAAAUGUAGCGAGUCAAUUCACUCUCUCUCUCUCUCUCUCUCUCUCUCUCUCUCUCUCUCUCUCUCUCUCUCUCUCUCUCUCUCUCUCUCUCUCUCUCUCUCUCUCUCUCUUUUGGUCUCUGCGUGUGUGUGAGAGAGAGAACCACAACAGCGAAGGAAGAGAAGAGAAAAAACUGAUAGGUCAUGAGCAGAUAAGAAGAGGGAUGGUCAAACGCAGUAGAAUAAGUUGAGUUGGUAAGACGGUUAGAGUAGGCUGGUGGAUAGACAAAACAAGGAAGAGAGAGAGAGAGAGAGAGAGAAACAACACCGAGGAGGAGGAAGUCAGAAAGUCAGUUGAGCAGGAAAAUUAUAUGUUCUUUCUUCUCUAAAGAACAACAAUUCAGAUUUGAAUGGUUACUAGGGUCUAUUCAAAAAACUUUUGAAAGCUUGAAUGUCAGCCUUAAGUAAGAAAUGCUGUUCAGACAUGUUACCAGAUGGCUUAUCAAAAAUAGUGUCAGAUUACAUGACAGUUAAACAGGUAAAGCUAGUUUACACCCCACUUUAUACAAGAUUUAGUCUAUGUCUCUAUAGUUAUAUUUUAGUUACAUCCUCAUGUUACUAAAAUGUCCAACUUCAUGGCUCAGUUUUACUUUUUAUCUGACUGGAACACUGCACAAUUUUUGUAAAUGUAUUUUUACAUAUAUGUAUUUAUUUUUGUUACGUAAAAGCUUUUUUGUUUGUUUCUUUUUUUCACAUUAAAGCCAAAAUUCCGUAAAGUUACAUAAGAUCAUGUACAGAAUGUGAAACAAGGGACUUAAAGACAGAACCAAAGUCAGAAAAUACUCAGAAAAAGAAAAUAAUAAUAAUAAUAAUAAUAAAUAAAACAUCAUAGUCUCCAAAAAUGCAAAACUAUUUAAUACUGGACUUCACACAAGCUCACAGAAAUCAGUUAAUUCUCAGCACAUAGAGCCUCUUUCACCUCGAUAUCACACUAUAGAGACUGUGUCUGUUCUCCGAACUAGAAAAUACAAAAAAAGUCCAAACCAAUUUAAGAGUAACAAUUUAAUUGAUGUUCAACAAAUAAAAAAUAGAUGCAAUAUGGAUAAACAAAUGAUAAAGCUUGCCUUAUUGAAUAUCAAGUCCCUUUCUAUGAAAGCACUUUUUGUAAAUGAUAAGAUCACUGAUCAUAACCUAGAUGUGCUCUGUUUGACAGAAACCUGGCUAAACCUGAUGAUUACAUUAUUUUAAAUGAGUCUACACCCCAAGAUUACUUUUAUAAACAUGAGCCACGUCCAAAAGGUAAAGGGGGUGGUGUUGCUUCAAUUUAUAACAAUGAUUUCAGUAUUUAUCAGAGGAUGGGCUUCAAGCAUAACUCGUUUGAAGUAAUGGUGCUUAAUAUAACAUUAUCCAGAGAAACACGUUAAUGUUAAAUCCCCUGUGAUAUUUGUACUGGCUACUGUAUACAGGCCACCAGGGCACCAUACAGACUUUAUUAAAGAAUAUGCUGAUUUUAUAUCCGAGUUAGUGCUGGCUGCAGAUCAAGUUUUAAUUGUUGGUGAUUUUAAUAUCCAUGUUGAUAAUGAAAAAGAUGCAUUGGGAUCAGCAUUCAUAGACAUUCUGAACUCAAUUGGGGUUAGACAACACGUUUCAGGACCUAUUCAUUGUCGAAAUCAUACUCUAGAUCAGGGGUUUUCAACCUGUGUGGUGCACCCGGGGGCGCAAGCAUCAGUUCACGAGUUCACACUUACAUAUAAUUAGCUGAAGUAUAUAAUGCAUAUUUGGCGUGCUGUCCGGGGAAGGGCUCCGAGCUCGGGAAUGGCCCGAACCUAGAGUACCCCCCCUACAUAAGUGUAAAAUGAACUCUAAGUGGAGGAGAUGGGGUGGAGGGGGGAUGCUGAUAAACCGUCAAUGGAUAGGGGUAAGUCAGCUGUAUUUAUACCCUAGUGUUGAUUAUCUUAAGUGAGCUCCACCUGUGCUAAUUAGGCUAAGUAUCUGACGUGCUCCUCCCGAACCUUGUUAAUAAAACAUCAUUUCACGAGUUCACACUUACAUAUAAUUAGCUGAAGUAUAUAAUGCAUAUUUGGCGUGCUGUCCGGGGAAGGGCUCCGAGCUCGGGAAUGGCCCGAACCUAGAGUACCCCCCAAAAAGGCAAUAGCAAAAGGACAGCCGCCAGACUAAGGACCCCCCCACAAUAGCAUUGAGAUCUGGCGGGGACUGAUAUUUGGAAACUCAGCUGGUUGGCAGGCCGGAAGAGCCUACGUACUCCGGUGGGAGUGACUUGUACAUUUGGAAAGGUAGGCCCUACCGGCUGCUGGUAUUGAACUACGUGAUUUGUGGCGCCCGGUCGGGAGGGCUCGAGCCGUUGCUCAACCGGAGCACCUCACUGCAUUGGAACGGAUGAGCCCUACGGGCCGAUGAAGGAGGAGCAGCGUGAUUGAAUAGCCCGACCAGGAGGGCCCGAGUUGCCUCGACUGGAAUAGGUCACAGUGUUGGCGUACGGGCCCUACUGGCUGAUGAGCCCCUGCUAAUCAGUGGGCAACCAGGGCAGAUAACUGACCGAGAGGGCCCAUGAAGCCUCCGACUGGAGAUCGAGACUCAGGACAACGGACGUGUAGGUCCUCUCAGUUGAGCAGAUAAACAGGCUUUGGGCCGCCGGCAAAGAGGACUCUAGCGACAUCUGACGGGAG
ensembl:lncRNA